GUCUACGGCUAUGCCACCCUGAACAAGCCCGAUCCCAUCUGAUCUCGGAAGCUAAGCGGGGUUGGGCCUGGUUAGUGCUUGGACGGGAGACCACCUAGGAAGACCAAGUGCUGUAGGCG
rnacentral:rRNA from 1 species